ACGGGAGGCAGCAGUGGGGAAUAUUGCACAAUGGGGGAAACCCUGAUGCAGCGACGCCGCGUGAGCGAUGAAGUAUUUCGGUAUGUAAAGCUCUAUCAGCAGGGAAGAUAAUGACGGUACCUGACUAAGAAGCCCCGGCUAACUACGUGCCAGCAGCCGCGGUAAUACGUAGGGGGCAAGCGUUAUCCGGAUUUACUGGGUGUAAAGGGAGUGUAGGUGGUUUGGCAAGCCAGAUGUGAAAACCCGGGGCUCAACUCCGAGGACUGCAUUUGGAACUGUUAAGCUUGAGUGCAGGAGAGGAAAGUGGAAUUCCUAGUGUAGCGGUGAAAUGCGUAGAUAUUAGGAGGAACACCAGUGGCGAAGGCGGCUUUCUGGACUGUAGCUGACACUGAGGCUCGAAAGCGUGGGGAGCA
rnacentral:rRNA from 1 species